GGGAGCGUACUGGAUUCGAUUUAGGACCUUACGCCAAAUUGCAAGCAGAGGAUGAUAGUGGGCCUCUUAAAACAUCUAUCAAGGUAAUUCAACUGCCAAUAAUGUUGAUAUGGCUCCUUCGGUUGCCGAAGCUGACGCGAUUCUCGCUAAGCACGGCUGGACCGAAGAGGCUGCUGUAGCUGCGUAAGCUACCCGUCCUACUCUGGAUGCUCGCUAAAGAGCUAGGGCGUCGACAGCGAGCAAAACUAGGAACCGAAGGGGGGUCUAGUAUAAAUAAAGUCUCCCUCAAAACUCGUGUAGGCCGUUGUCGGUGACGUGUCACAAGCGAGUACCAACACCGACUAAGCUUGUAGUAUAUUUGAGCCAAUGGCUCUAAAGACGCGGGUUCGACUCCCGCCGCUUCCACCA
rnacentral:tmRNA from 1 species